UACCUUGUUACGACUUCACCCCAGUCAUGAAUACUACCGUGGUAAGCGUCCUCCUUACGGUUAGACUACCUACUUCUGGUAAAACCCACUCCCAUGGUGUGACGGGCGGUGUGUACAAGGCCCGGGAACGUAUUCACCGCGACAUGCUGAUCCGCGAUUACUAGCGAUUCCGACUUCAUGUAGUCGAGUUGCAGACUACAAUCCGGACUACGAUCGGCUUUCUGGGAUUUGCUCCCCCUCGCGGGUUGGCGACCCUCUGUACCGACCAUUGUAUUACGUGUGAAGCCCUGUUCAUAAGGGCCAUGAGGACUUGACGUCAUCCCCACCUUCCUCCGGUUUGUCACCGGUAGUCCCAUUAAAGUGCCCAACUAAAUGAUGGCAAUUAAUGGCCAGGGCUGCGCUCGUUGCGGGACUUAACCCAACAUCUCACGACACGAGCUGACGACAGCCAUGCAUCACCUGUGUUAGCGCUCUUUUCGGGCACCAAACCAUGUCUGGAAAGUUCGCUACUUUUCAAGGC
rnacentral:rRNA from 1 species